ACGUGCCUACGGGGGGCAGCAGUGGGGAAUUUUGCGCAAUGGGGGAAACCCUGACGCAGCAACGCCGCGUGCGGGACGAAGGCCCUCGGGCUGUAAACCGCUUUCAGCAGGGAAGACAUCGACGGUACCUGCAGAAGAAGCUCCGGCUAACUACGUGCCAGCAGCCGCGGCAAUACGUAGGGGGCGAGCGUUAUCCGGAUUCAUUGGGCGUAAAGCGCGCGUAGGCGGCCGCCUAAGCGGAACCUCUAACCCCGGGGCUCAACCUCGGGCCGGGUUCCGGCCUGGGCGGCUUGAGUGCGGGAGAG
rnacentral:rRNA from 1 species